rnacentral:rRNA from 1 species
CGUGUAGGCGGUUCAGCAAGUCGGAUGUGAAAGCCCUCGGCUUAACCGAGGAAGGGCGUUCGAAACUACUGAACUUGAGUGCCGGAGAGGGUGGCGGAAUUCCCGGUGUAGAGGUGAAAUUCGUAGAUAUCGGGAGGAACACCAGCGGCGAAGGCGGCCACCUGGACGGUAACUGACGCUGAGACGCGAAAGCGUGGGGAGCAAACAG